UCACCCUACCAGGGAUGAUUGUGCGUCUAGUCCAUGUAGCUGUGACAUCAUGACUAGAUCCACACUCAUCCCUGUUGGGGAAC
rfam:Lingula anatina scaffold639, whole genome shotgun sequence.